rfam:Cricetulus griseus cell line CHO-K1, whole genome shotgun sequence.
GUCUGUAGUAUACAGCUGCGUACAUCUGUAUCUGGCGGCUCCGAGGAGGAACUGACGAGUUCGGACUCCCGACCGCAGCUCCAGGAGACGUCCUGGUAGCA